rnacentral:lncRNA from 1 species
CUUCAGCAACCACCACUCUGCCAACAGUCACCACAAUUGAGCUGCAAUAAAGCUGGUACUUCAGAACACAAAAGCUAGAUUCCUGCUGUGACUUCUCAAAAACUGCUUCUCAAAAUACUCAUGCAACAGCUGACACAUAAAAAAUGUACAUGAAUGUCUGGAUGGCUUCCCAGACCUGUCUGGAAGUACACACCCAGUUUUCAGGUGAUGGAGAUGUCUUCAAAAUGUUGGACUUCUAGCAAGAGUUCUCUGCCUAAAACUGUAUGUGAGAUUCUGAAAGAGGUAUAUUAAAGUCUCAGCAUGAAAGCAUAAAGUCUUUGUGGUAAGCAUAGCCCUAAGAUGGUUUUCAAGAUUCCUAGUUGCUGAUGGUGUCUCAGUCCCGCACCUUGUAUAAUCCUCUCCCUUUGGAAGGAGGCAGGAACUGUGAAUAUAAUGGAAUAGCCACUCCAAAGAUUACAUUACAUCACGUAAGCCUCUGUCUUAGAUGGGAGGGAUUCUCCUCUUGGCUGUCAGCUGCCGUAUUGUGAGAGGGAUCUGUGAAAGGGCCAAGGAACAAGGAACCUUGGGGUCCCCCAGGACCUGACAGUGGGCCCUGGCUGAUAGCCAACAACAAAGCUCUGAAGCUGCAAGAAACUGAAUUCUGCGAAGAUGACCCUGAGGUUGAGAAAGUAUCACUGCCCGGCUGAUAUCUCAUGAGAUUCCUGCACUUAUGACAACCUGACCCAGCCAGGAG